CAAAACGACUCUCGGCAACGGAUAUCUCGGCUCUCGCAUCGHUGAAGAACGUAGCGAAAUGCGAUACGUGGUGUGAAUUGCAGAAUCCCGUGAACCAUCGAGUUUUUGAACGCAAGUUGCGCCCGAAACCUUUUGGUUGAGGGCACGUCUGCCUGGG
rnacentral:rRNA from 1 species